CUCCCGGGCUUGUUUUCUGGACCAAGUUACCAAGACGAGGCCGCUGUCGCCCGGAAGUUAGGAAUUCCGUCACUUUAUGUCUCCCUUACGUCACUGAGACUCUGUCACGUGCUCACCUGCGGGAAACGAGCGUAAAACCGCGAAUUUCUGUUUUUCCUGUUACAAAGAUGGCGGCUCCGCGACACCGGAGGUGGAAGCCAGCGUGAAUGUUAACCUCCCAGUGGGCAGGGCCUGAGAGCGCGCGCACACAAACUGACCUGAGUUCUGUUCAAACUGAGUGACGCUGCAGGUUUUGUUUUUAAACUCAUUAAAAUUAUAAAAAAAAAUUUUACGUUUUCAUUAUGAUCUUCUCAUGUUUAACUUAAUGUUUUUAUGUAUGAAUAAUAAUAAGAAUAAUGUUUAAGUGUUACUUUCUUGCCUGCUGACACGCUCACAGACACCAGCAGGGGGCACUGUUCAUUUCCACAUGUAGUCACUUCAGAGGUCAAAGUGUUUUCUGAUGAAUAAAUGUUUUAUUGUUGUUGACAAACAGCGGCAUGAGACACAAACGUGAAAAUAAAUGUCUACGUUUCUAAUAAUAAAUAAAUCAUUUGACAUGACACAUGACAUGACAAACAUUUUCUAAAUAACUUAAUCAUUUGAUCAUAAAUAAAUACAUUCAUAAAAUA